rnacentral:rRNA from 1 species
GAUGAACGCUGGCGGCGUGCCUAAUACAUGCAAGUCGAGCGAACGGACGAGAAGCUUUCUUCUCUGAUGUUAGCGGCGGACGUGUGAGUAACCCGUGGAUAACCUACCUAUAAGACUGUGAUAACUUCGGGAAACCUUAGCUACUACCGGAUAAUAUUUUGAACCGCAUGGUUCAAUAGUGAAAUACUUUUUUGCUGUCACUUUUAGAUGUAUCCGCUCUGCAUUAUCUAGUUGGUAAGGUAACUGCUUACCAAGGCAACGAUGCCUAGCCGACCUGAGAGGGUGAUCGGCGACACUGGAAGUGAGACACGGUCCAGACUACGACGGGAGGCAGCAGUAGGGAAUCUUGCGCAAUGGGAGAAAGCCUGACGGAGCAACGCCGCGUGAGUGAUGAAGGUCUUCGGAUCGUAAAACUCUGUUAUUAGGGAAGAACAAAUGUGGAAGUAACUGUGCACAUCUUGAAGGUACAUAAUCAGAAAGCCACGGCUAACUACGUG